rnacentral:rRNA from 1 species
UACAGAGGGGGCAAGCGUUAUUCGGAAUUAUUGGGCGUAAAGGGCGCGUAGGCGGCCUUGCAAGUGACGGGUGAAAUCCCUCGGCUUAACCGAGGAACUGCCUGUCAGACUGCAUGGCUUGAGACCGGGAGAGGUGAGUGGAAUUCCCAGUGUAGCGGUGAAAUGCGUAGAUAUUGGAGGAACACCAGUGGCGAAGGCGGCUCACUGGACCGGUACUGACGCUGAGGCGCGAAAGCGUGGGGAGCAAACAGG